UGCCAGCCGCCGCGGUAAUACGAGUGGUGCAAGCGUUAUUCGGAAUCAUUGGGCGUAAAGGGUGCGUAGGCGGCGUGCUAAGUCAACUGUUAAAUCUUCCGGCCUAACUGGAAGCUUGCAGUAGAUACUGGUAUGCUAGAGGUUGGAAGAGAGAAGUGGAAUUCUCGGAGUAGCGGUAAAAUGCGUAGAUCUCGAGAGGAACACCGAUGGCGAAGGCAGCUUCUUGGUCCAAAUCUGACGCUGAGGCACGAAAGCGUGGGGAGCAAACGGGAUUAGAUA
rnacentral:rRNA from 1 species